ACACACACACACACACACACACACCAUAAAUAUACACACACACACACACACAACAUAAAUAUACACACACAGACAACAUAAAUAUACACACACAACAUAAAUAUACACACACACAACAUAAAUAUACACACACACAACAUAAAUAUACACACACACAACAUAAAUAUACACACACACAACAUAAAUAUACACACACACACACACAACAUAAAUAUACACACACACACAACAUAAAUAUACACACACAACAUAAAUAUACACACACACACAACAUAAAUAUACACACACACAACAUAAAUAUACACACACACAACAUAAAUAUACACAUAAUACCCAAACCUUUUCUAUCUACAUCUAGCUAUAGAUAUGGCUUAUUUGUGAUGUUUUAUUUGUGCUUCCCAUGACUGUGUUUUUGUAUUUUUACACACACACACACACACACACACACACACACACACACACACACACACACACACACACACACACACACACACACACACACACACACACACACACACACACACACACACACACACACACACACACACGUCAUCAUUGGAAUCACAAAGCCAACUGUUAGCCUGGGUUCCAGUCUGUUUAGCUAUAAUUCAGGUGCAUUAAAACUAAAACACCCGAUCCUACCAAUUCAAACAGCCAACUGUUAGCCUGGGUUCCAGUCUGUUUAGCUAUAAUUCAGGUGCAUUAAAACUAAAACACCCGAUCCUACCAAUUCAAACAGCCAACUGUUAGCCUGGGUUCCAGUCUGUUUAGCUAUAAUUCAGGUGCAUUAAAACUAAAACACCCGAUCCUACCAAUUCAAACAGCCAACUGUUAGCCUGGGUUCCAGUCUGUUUAGCUAUAAUUCAGGUGCAUUAAAACUAAAACACCCGAUCCUACCAAUUCAAACAGCCAACUGUUAGCCUGGGUUCCAGUCUGUUUAGCUAUAAUUCAGGUGCAUUAAAACUAAAACACCCGAUCCUACCAAUUCAAACAGCCAACUGUUAGCCUGGGUUCCAGUCUGUUUAGCUAUAAUUCAGGUGCAUUAAAACUAAAACACCCGAUCCUACCAAUUCAAACAGCCAACUGUUAGCCUGGGUUCCAGUCUGUUUAGCUAUAAUUCAGGUGCAUUAAAACUAAAAACACCCGAUCCUACCAAUUCAAACAGCCAACUGUUAGCCUGGGUUCCAGUCUGUUUAGCUAUAAUUCAGGUGCAUUAAAACUAAAACACCCGAUCCUACCAAUUCAAACAGCCAACUGUUAGCCUGGGUUCCAGUCUGUUUAGCUAUAAUUCAGGUGCAUUAAAACUAAAACACCCGAUCCUACCAAUUCAAACAGCCAACUGUUAGCCUGGGUUCCAGUCUGUUUAGCUAUAAUUCAGGUGCAUUAAAACUAAAACACCCGAUCCUACCAAUUCAAACAGCCAACUGUUAGCCUGGGUUCCAGUCUGUUUAGCUAUAAUUCAGGUGCAUUAAAACUAAAACACCCGAUCCUACCAAUUCAAACAGCCAACUGUUAGCCUGGGUUCCAGUCUGUUUAGCUAUAAUUCAGGUGCAUUAAAACUAAAAACACCCGAUCCUACCAAUUCAAACAGCCAACUGUUAGCCUGGGUUCCAGUCUGUUUAGCUAUAAUUCAGGUGCAUUAAAACUAAAACACCCGAUCCUACCAAUUCAAACAGCCAACUGUUAGCCUGGGUUCCAGUCUGUUUAGCUAUAAUUCCACUUCUUGUCAAGCCAAAUGUUUGGUAUGACACGGAGUACAAGGAGUGGAAUGUUAGCACAAAACAGGUUCUGGAUUUCAAGCGAACAAAAUGCCUAUUUUCUAAUCAAAGCCCCGUGCAGU